rnacentral:SRP_RNA from 1 species
GCCGGACGCGGUGGCGCGCGCCUGUAGUCCCAGCUACUCGGGAGGCUGAGAUGGGAGGAUCGCUUGAGCCCAGGAGUUCUGGGCUGUAGUGCGCUAUGCCGAUCGGGUGUCCGCACUAAGUUCGGCAUCAAUAUGGUGACCUCCCGGGAGCGGGGGACCACCAGGUUGCCUAAGGAGGGGUGAACCGGCCCAGGUCGGAAAUGGAGCAGGUCAAAACUCCCGUGCUGAUCAGUAGUGGGAUCCGCGCCUGUGAAUAGCCACUGCACUCCAGCCUGGGCAACAUAGCGAGACCCCGUCUCU